GCGCGCUCGCCACCGUCCAAAUGACCCAGGAUUUGCCCUGAUUCACUUGCACCGGGUGCAUGCGAUAAUUUCUCGAGGGAGAGGGGUUCCGUUCUGGCGGUACCGCUGCGUGCUGCACCUUUCUCGUGGUCCUCUCGAUCGAGCCAAUGAGAGGCAGGCCUGGGUGGGGGACCAGCGGAAGAGGGGCCUCGCUUUCCGUGCUCCAGAGGGCCCAUUUGUGCCCCUCAACACCGCUCCAUGGUCCCCGGCUGGGGACGUACGGAUCUCUCCAAUCGUAGAUGAUUCCCAUGGUACCGCCGACCAUGGCUGAUGAUCGGUGGUGCUUUAAUUAUGCCUUUUAUUUUCUUUUCUCCCUUCUUCCAUUUUAAUUUUUAUUUUAUCUUUUUAAUUUCUCUGAUGAACAAUAUUUGAAAGCUAAGUGUACAGAAAA
rnacentral:lncRNA from 1 species